AGCCCAAGGGAUGCACCUCAAUGGCCCCCACUGGUGUCUGUAUCAGCACACCUGGACCAGCUCAGAACAACGGCCCCCACCAAUGUCUCAGUCUCCAGAGAGGCCCCUCCUCUCGCCAAGAUGCCCCCAGAGCCCACCAGAUUUAUACCUUUGUGGAAGAUACAUGAGGACAAAUGCAAUAGCACGGGUGAUGUCAGCAACAGUUGGAAGUUGUGAAGCCAUUCGAAUAGUAGUGACCUGCUUAGCCUAUCAGAGAAUGGUAAAUGCCGUCAGUCAGGAAAGUCUAGAAGCAGACCAAUGGUGUCAUCAAAACUCUGAAAGACUUUGGAAAUGAAAGCACAGAUUUGGACUUUUCAACAAGAAUAUUAAGAUCUAGAAGACAAUGGAUUAAUAUUUUAACUACUAACAGUUCAAUGUCUUUCAACCUAAAAAGGUAUACGCUGUCAAACCAUCCAUCAAUUGCAAGGAAAAAGUAGUGACAUUUUUGGGCAUGCAUAUGCUUAAAAUAUUUUCCUUCCAUGUAUCCUUUAUCAGGAAGUUAUUAGAUAAUAUGUCAUAUCAUACAAAAAAAUUACCAAGGAAAAGGAAGACAUGAAAUCAGGGGAUAGCAAGAA
ensembl:lncRNA